GCAACGGUUCCGCAAACUCUCUUACGCACCACGCGACGUUUCGUCGGCAGCAGCAACAGAACAACCCAAGAUGCUUCGAGAGCUCCUUCCCCUCCCUACCUCCUUCCCCUGCUCUCCCCACCACCCCCGCAGCGCAGGCCGCCGCUCGGGACCUCUUCCUCCCCAACCAAAACUUUAUCUUCGCGCCCCCCUCAAACGUCGUCGUAAUGUCGGCGCGGACCGUCGCCCGACCCCUCAAACAGGAGCAUCGUCGUCCUGUCGGCGCGGGGUGGAGCGACAUCCUAUCCUUCGUGUGCCGACUUCAAUUGGAGCUCCAUCCCCUUCUCUCUUGGACAUCGUCCCCGUGCUCGAGCCGCCAUGACGCGGGAAGCCGCCCGGAACUUCUCCCUCCCCGCACCAUCCUAUCCUCCUUGUGUCAACUCCAAUUGGAGCUCCAUCCCCUCCCCACCUCAGACACCGUACCGUAGCGGUGCUCGAGCCGCUGCCAAGAGCUCUAUUCUCCUCCCCCUUCCCCUCAAGCGAUGUCGCCUUGCCCGUGUAGGACGGCUCAACAUGUGGUAAUCCAUCGCUCUUUUGUCAAGUCAGCAACAGGGGCAACUGACCGGUACAACAAAUCCUUUGCACGACGCUACCGGAGUGGCACGAGCUACCACGGCCACUAGACGUAGCUGCCUCAUCCCCUGUCUCCCUCCUUGCCUCCCCUGCCGAUCUCCUCUUGGCUUCCUGCUUUACCGUCUCUAGAGUUCUAGAUCCCCAAGUUUAUUUUCAGACAAUUCCAUUUCACCUGUCAUUCACAUGGCCACGAUGUAUCAAACACCUUAUCUUUGCACUGCACCGAUGAAGGUCGAUCAGUAUUCAGUACCACUUGCUCUUCCAUCUUACUACUACUAAUUCAUUGCACGUCUACAUGACAUUCAAUAGAGGCUGAAAUUAGUUGAGUGGGUUAACCUGUAGUUCCAGUAUGCAAACUACAAGAACAACGUCUGCAACAAGAGUGGGAAGGGAUCCUAAGGCUGGAGCUGAUCAACCAGAGAGCGAACUUCGCCUUUGCGCUCUUCUCCGAAUACUUCUCGGUGGGACCAGGUGACAGAGAUGAAACCAUCGAAAGCAACCAUCCAAACCUUUUCCAGUGCUGCUAAGAAGGGAUCAAUUUUCUGCACAAAGAUGCAAACUGUGGUGUCUGAGACAGCAGAUCGAACCUGGACCAGGUAUAUUGAGAAUUAAUGGCUAAGCUGCUAUUCUCUGCAAAAACGUCAAUGUUCCUUCCCUUCGAUCCAUAGAUGUGUCCAUGUAAAAAGAGCAAGAGGCAACCAGUACACUUAGUUUUCAAUCAUCAUUUUUAUAGUAGCAAUAUGACGAUCUAAGCCUCCAACAACUUCACCCCGUCAGAAACGCGUGCACCCGUGCGUCCACGUCGGCAAAAAAAACAUGUGCGUAGGAUGUUCCAUCAACGGACGAGAUUUCUUCUCAGCCUCCCCGGGCCGCUGUAGACGCCUGGAGAAUUCUAGCGAUGUGCAGUUCAUAAAAAAAUCAACUGUUUUCUAGAAGGGCGUAUAAAUAGGCAUCGCGUGCCUAGCGUCGGCUACCGUGACUGCGGCGUCGGCGGCUGGGACCAGCGGCUGUGCGUCCCCUCUCUAGAAGCUUCGUCCGUCUUCACCAUCUGUGCAGGUUAGGUGAAAAACGUUGUAGCCUUUUCCUCCCCAACAACGCAUACUCUUAGCUAGGGUUUCAACGCAUCUGACAGCUGAAGCUAGGGCGUCGCCACCGUCAAUGUCAUGGCACUCCCGCUCUGUUCACCAAUCGCAUCGACAGGUAACAAUCCAUCAUCUCCGUAUCACCUCCUUGGAUCCUCCUCCGUUCCGUGACUUCCACAGCAUGCCGCCAGGAGCCCUAUCCUCAAUCAUGUCAUGUCUUUCCCGCCGAGCUACACACCUUCAUGAGCCCACCCCCUCCUCCCCCAAACGACGCCGGGUGACAAGGAGGAAAAGUAGUAAUGACGACAUGCAAACUGAAUAAGAUUAUGUAUUUUGAAUACGAUUCUAGAGAUGCACACGCUCUGUUCAUCAAUGCUGCUACGUUUUGAAACUUCAGCAUUUCAUUACUGCUACAAAUAUAUGUACACGGUAAUAUAAUCUCUUAGCUCCUCAUGUUGCUACAUUUGUAAACUUCAAUAUUUCAUUACUGCUACAAAUCUAUUUACAGUUCCAAUUGACUAUGGUAGCUUCCUUGCUUUCUGUUCU